rnacentral:lncRNA from 1 species
ACCCUGCGGAUAACCAAAUUGAUAAUUAAACCAAUUAUAAAUUGUUAAGCGUGUAAAACUAAAACCACGUCCGAGACAUGAAACCAAAACACUAGUUGGAGUGGAUGCAUACGGUUUUUCACUCCGAAGGAUGGAGCCUCCCGUGGAUUCUAAAAGCCAAUCCACUACUUCGCUAAAGGUUCGGGAUGAACUGCUAUGCGCUUUUUCACUCCGAACGAUGGAGCCUCCCGUGGAUGCUAAAACCGAAUUCACUUUUUCGCUAUAGGUUCGGGAUGAACUGCUAUGCGCUUUAUCAUUCACCACGGCUCUUCUAUCACGACGAGUCGAGCUGUGUCCAUACGUAGAAGAAUCUCUAGGCAUAGCGGACCGGGAUGACACACUAAAGCUGAUGGAACUUUGCCGGGGAUGAUGACCCUAAGGAGGUUGAGAUUACUUGGUUUUCGUUUUUGAACUAGGUAGUUCUUUUCAGAGACUGAGUGUAUUUGAGAAUAUAUAAAGAGAGGAGAGAGAAAAUCGGCAUAAUAAGUUGAAGAAAGCCAAAUUAAGGAAUAAAGAUCUACCAAGAAUGUUUCAUGUAAAAUAAGAAAAUAAUUAAACAAAAACAUUCCAAGACCUUCUGAAU